UGUUCUUGAAUUCUUGACUCUUCCAAUGGUGAAAUGGCAUAUGCAGCAGCUGCCGCGGCAGUUGCACGCUCUCUAUUUCAUUGGAGUCAUAUUCUUGAUUCAUCUGCCAAGAAACCUUUCUCUGAAAUCAGUUUUGAAAUCUCUUCUUUUCUGCAAAAUGCACCAUUGUUGUCUUGGCGGUGGCUUGAAGUAGGGAUAAAAAUUAGUAAAGUUAGCUUCUUUGAAGGAUGGAAUUUUCAGGGGUGGUAUUCUUCUUUCUCUGUUGCUG
rnacentral:misc_RNA from 1 species